rnacentral:rRNA from 1 species
UUUUGGACAAUGGGCGCAAGCCUGAUCCAGCCAUGCCGCGUGAGUGAAGAAGGCCUUCGGGUUGUAAAGCUCUUUCGGCGCCCCACCAAACGGUUAGUGCUAAUAACACUGACUAAUGACGGUACUCACAGAAGAAGCACCGGCUAACUACGUGCCAGCAGCCGCGGUAAUACGUAGGGUGCAGGCGUUAAUCGGAAUUACUGGGCGUAAAGCGUGCGCAGGCGGUUUGCUAAGACAGGUGUGAAAUCCCCGGGCUUAACCUGGGAAUUGCGCUUGUAACUGGCAAGCUAGAGUGUGGCAGAGGGGGGUGGAAUUCCACGUGUAGCAGUGAAAUGCGUAGAUAUGUGGAGGAACACCGAUGGCGAAGGCAGCCCCCUGGGUUAACAUUGACGCUCAUGCACGAG